UACGAAGGGGGCUAGCGUUGUCCGGAUUUAUUGGGCGUAAAGAGCUCGUAGGCGGUUUGUCGCGUCGGCCGUGAAAACUUGGGGCUUAACCCCAAGCCUGCGGUCGAUACGGGCAGACUUGAGUUCGGCAGGGGAGACUGGAAUUCCUGGUGUAGCGGUGAAAUGCGCAGAUAUCAGGAGGAACACCGGUGGCGAAGGCGGGUCUCUGGGCCGUGACUGACGCUGAGACGCGAAAGCGUGGGGAGCAAACAGG
rnacentral:rRNA from 1 species